UAGGCAGUGACCAAAUGGUAAGGUACGCCGCAAUGCGGUGGUCGCCCGUGAGGGCGUGUGGGUUCAAAUCCCGUCUGUCUAU
rnacentral:tRNA from 1 species